ACUAUUUUGCGUAUUUAACAAGAGUACUAAAAAGUGUUUGAAAGGCCCUAUGAAAUAAAGUGAUCAGCGAUUAGAAUAAUGUACCUUAACCAUUUCGGGCUGAUCCAUCAGCGAUACCCUUCCUAAGACCUUUAGAAGAACUUCGAUCUUUUUAAAUUCCAUUUGUUUUCUUUAUGGACGUUUCCACAUCUUUAUAUAUCAUAUCAAAGGGUUUAUCUUUGGAAAAAUUGUCAGAUCUUUUGCCUUAAAAUAAAUUCCAGCCAUAAAAUAUGCAUUCAUUCGCCCUGAACGGAUUUUACAAAAGAGAUUUUUGAACUCUUUCAUGUUAACGAACCGGGUUUUUUUUAUUAAUCUAUCUAUUUUACGAAACCGAAUUUUGAACUCUUCCAUGUUAACGAACCGCAAUUUUUAAUAACCCAUCUAUGGGACAAUUUCCAUAUAAAUUUAUAAGUCAUUUCCGAAUUGAUCAAUAACAGAAUUCCGAGUAAUACCAUAUAGAUAAAGACGAUCAAUAAAAUGUGAGAUAAGGAAAAGAUACAACAAGAACAAUAACAAUAAAUACCAGAGUAUAUAUUGACCUUCUUUCUCAUCCAUACAAUCAGCCAUCAGCAGCAAGCAGCAAGCAGCAAUACAUCCAUCAACAAACAAUGAAUAGUUAAAUCUCCAAGAACACGAAACAAACAUGAAGACGACGUGAUUUUUCGUUUUGUCAUACAUUCUGUGUAGAUUCAGAGCUAACAUAAUUAUUCGGCCAGGCAUCUUUAAACAAAUAAGUUUUGAGAACAAACGCACAGAGACUUGAAAGAAAAAAGAAUACAAUUUACAUAGCCUACAUAAACGAAUAGCAAGUAAGAUAGCAAGCCAGCCAGCAAUGACUAUUUCAGAUUCAUAUAAAUGACCAUACAUUUUGUGUACGUUUGUUUUUUCUUUCUGCUUUGUGUAUUAUCUAAUUAUUAUUAAGCAUGUUCCAAAUUACUAUUUCAAGGUGGAACUAAAAUUUUUAUUUUGUUGAAGUAGUGGUGGUAUAUUCUAUGUUGCAGGCUGGCUUUCUGGCCAUUUGCCUUGUGUGUAAAAACGAACACCAAUCCGUCAACAUAGAAAAUCAGCUAGCUAGCUAGCCAUCUAGCAUUGGCGAGCUUGUUGUAUUUCUAACACUUCUUAUUGGGUUCAAAGCUAACCAGCUACAAGAAACUGACCUUAGCAAUUCAGCAAAUGGUGAGCACAAACGUCAACGCCAAAUAUUGAAACACAUACUUGAGAAUGGUUAAAGAGGCACUUUUGAUUUUUUAUUUAUUUUUUUUUUUCAUUCGAAUCAAAUGCUCAAAAGAAUUUAAUGGUGAUUAAGAUUGGAGUUACGAAGCGAAACAGAAAAAAAAAAAACAAUACAACAAUAAUGUUUAAACUAGCGAAAAAAAAAAACAUUUUCUCACCCAUUCCACAGCAAAUUUAAAUUUUACCAUCACCAGCAGCUAAUGACGCUUAUAAAACAUUGGUUUUUAUUUAUUCAUCGUGUUACGGCUAUUUUAGUUAAUUUGCAAAGAAUAAGAAACCACACAGACAUAACCGGUGUGCGUCUGCCGGCUUGAGAUUUACAGCAAAAGAUAACUUAUUCAUGAGACUGAAAAAACGAAUCAAACAAAUCUAUUUGAAUGUCACUUGGAGUUUUGUAUAGAUUUUAUUGGCCAAUGCAAACUCAAGGUACUGGAAGAUAAAUUAAAUGCGUAAAUUAUAAGCUAAUUGCCGGUAUUUUUUCGGAUAAUUAAAGUGGUGGAUUUUGCAAAAUGCAAGAGGAGAUCCUUUACAAUCAUGUAAAAAUUAUUAUACUUAUGGCAGCAGAGGGAAGAAAUGUAGGAAAAUAUCACAGGAAAUUGUGUAGAAAAAUACUUUGAAAGGAGAACUCAAUGUAAAACACCUAAUGGAAUUAAAGAAAAAUAUCUAAGAUUCAAUGAACUUCUUAAUCAAAAGCUAUUUUUCUCAAUUGCAAAACUAACUUUGAUGCCAUAGAUGAAAAUUGCCAAUGAAAUAUAUUUGAUUUGAUGGCCUAGAACUAGAUAUAAGGAGUUCAUCCAUAUAAAAACAUAGAAGUUAUGGAAGCUAAA